GAUUGCGGCUAUGAUGAUAAAUGUUUAAUACCCAGCUCAUUAUGAGUUCUUUUUGAAGAACAGGGAAUUGAAUAUUUUUCCAACAUUUAUCUGAGCUUACUU